ACGGGCGCAGCGACGCACGGCAGCGCCUCCUGCUGCAGACGCGGGUGCCAGCACCGCCUCUGAGCGGCACAGCUCGGCUCUCCUCUCGUCGGCACGGCAGGGCUCAGCUAUCCUCCCCCGCUCCGGCAUGGCACGGCAUGGCACAGCCUGGCUCAACGCGGCUCGGUCCGACGCGGCUCGGCACAGCACGUCGCGGCGUGCCGUCCCCUGUGGAGGGGAAUCUGUCCCCCCUGGAGGAGAAGGAAGCGGCGAAGAGAGGCGAAAGCACUGGCCGAGGCGGGCGGGCGGACGGGUCUGUAUGCAGCUAUACGACACCGACACCGGUGAGCUGUGAAGCAGGAUCUUCUCUACAUAUCCAGGCUCCAGUUUCUGCAUCUUCCAGUGGGUGUCUCUUGGGAUUUCAUCCUUUCCUGUUACUCACAUUCCUGUUAAAAAGCAACAGAGAUAUUUUUUUAUUGCUAUUAUUUCCUUGACUGGAGAGUUCAAGCUUGAGAGGCAUGGACAAGAUGCACACAUGAUCCCACUUUUCUUUCAGCUUGUGAAGUGGAAUGGAGUUCCAAAUGGGGAGAUUGUGACUUGACUCUGCUUCUCUUUUUUCUUUUUUUCACAUGGAGAAAUAAGCCCUGAUUAAUGAGUUUCUGUUCACAGUGUUCUUUCUUUUAAAAGGCAAAACCUGUUCUCUGUAUGUGUGGAAGAUGACAGAUUGACAGCCCUGGGAGACUGGAAGCCCUCUGUUUAUCCCAAGUACACGUACAGCACAAAUAGUAAAAAUGCAACUUUCUGUGAGCUACCCAGCCAAUGUAUUUCAGCCCUGAUAUACAUGGCCAGGGAAACAUUCAGGACACUAGAGGUUAUUUUAGUUAUCUAGGCUAUGUGGUUCUUUGUCUUUGCCAAAGCUAGUCACCACUGUGAUGGCAGUUUCUGUGAUCUGGAUGUCUGAAAACAUCAGCUUUCAUUGAGCAGUCAUUAAAUGGUAGUGACUUUCAUUUAAGACUGAUCUGGUCUGAGUCUGAACUGUGUUUCAUAGAGAAAUGCCUUAAUAUCUUGUUUCUGAUCACCUGAGCCUUCCAGCUGCUCUGAGUGUCCUUUUUUCAAAGGAAGAGAGGUUAUAUUUUGUAUUUGUUUGACUGGGGAAAGGGUUCUUAGCUGAUGGUACACGAGGCUGAUCAUAUUCAUUUCACUGCUUUGGCACUUCUUUGAAAUUUAUAGGGAUAUGCCAUGAGUGGUAUAUCAUAUUUUUGUGACUCUUCUUGCAUGGCUAUACAUUUCUGUGAGUUCAGAAGAAAUAGCUAGGGGAGCAGCCUGAGCAUGUGACAGUGAAUAACAUACUGAAUGAGUGGUUAUUUGCACACUGAUUAUUGCAAGAGAUUUUCACAGAUGUAGAUUAGGAGGAUUAUAGAUGGUAAAAAGCUUCAGUACCAUUUUAGAAAGUGAGACACUGGAGAUGUAAAUGAGGAGAUAUUCUUAAUGAUCAGUUUUUUUGGCAUAUUCCUGUUUCAAGGAAGCCAACACAGCAUUCUGUGGUGGGGAUAGGAAAAGGAGAGCGUUGGUUGGGCAUAUGGCUGUCUCGGGACAGCAGGCAUCAGUGAGGGAAAAGAUGAGAUUGAGGUAGGAAUACUCUUGUGAUCAAAGAGAAAUAGAAGGAAGUAAGGAAGGAAAAAAAAAAUGCAGAACAAAGGUGACCAGAGAAACUCCCCAGGACCUUUUUUUAUACCCAUGCCUGGCAUUUAGUACUCAGAGAGUGAGUUUAAAAUUAUGUGACUGUGGUGAAUUUUGGUCAAGAAUUUGCUCAAGCAGCCCAAAUGAAAUACACUCUUCCCCUCCCCCCCUUCUGAAAAAGAGAUUCUGUAGAGGCUUGGUGCAAGGAGCUCAGCAGUUGCAGAAAUUACUGAGGGGACAUUUGGUCUUUGUGAACAUGUGGUGAAGUGCUACCUUGCACUACUAUGGUGGCAGUAUAUGAUUAAUAUUGCAAUUAAUAGCUCAUGUUCCUCCCCUCUGCACCCAGAUACUGAGCUCUUUGAAAUCUGAUUCAGGAGAUCUUGCUGCAGUUGCAGUGUUCUAGGUACAAUCCCCCUGUGCUUUUAUAACACUGUAAUUAAUAACUUAAUGCUAUUCUAUUCUCAAAGUCCCCAAAUGUUGGUUUUUUUUUUCUGUUUUUUCUCAUUCUCUACAAAUAAAAUUUGUUUCAAAGAUGUGAAUAUUCUCUCCAUGUCAAUGAAGGUCUAUCUAAUACUGAGCUCUGUUAUUUCUGUAUUUCCACAUUGAACUCUAGAGUAUGACAGCAAUUCCCUCGAUCUUUGAAGACAAGAAGGGAACUCAUACCCUGAAAAAUUGAAAGACUCUUGGCCAUUGAAGGUCAUUUAGAAAAUCUUUCCAUUCAGCUCUAGAAUCUGCACAAGCCCAAACAUUUCACAUAUAUGC